rnacentral:rRNA from 1 species
GACGAACGCUGGCGGCGUGCUUAACACAUGCAAGUCGAACGGAAAGGCCCUGCUUUUGUGGGGUGCUCGAGUGGCGAACGGGUGAGUAACACGUGAGUAACCUGCCCUUGACUUUGGGAUAACUUCAGGAAACUGGGGCUAAUACCGGAUAGGAGCUCCUGCUGCAUGGUGGGGGUUGGAAAGUUUCGGCGGUUGGGGAUGGACUCGCGGCUUAUCAGCUUGUUGGUGGGGUAGUGGCUUACCAAGCAUUUGACGGGUAGCCGGCCUGAGAGGGUGACCGGCCACAUUGGGACUGAGAUACGGCCCAGACUCCUACGGGAGGCAGCAGUGGGGAAUAUUGCACAAUGGGCGGAAGCCUGAUGCAGCAACGCCGCGUGCGGGAUGACGGCCUUCGGGUUGUAAACCGCUUUCGCCUGUGACGAAGCGUGAGUGACGGUAAUGGGUAAAGAAGCACCGGCUAACUACGUG